GAUGAAGAACGUAGCGAAAUGCGAUACUUGGUGUGAAUUGCAGAAUCCCGUGAACCAUCGAGUCUUUGAACGCAAGUUGCGCCCGAAGCCAUUAGGCCGAGGGCACGCCUGCCUGGGCGUCACACGUCGUUGCCCCCCCAUCUACUCCUUCGGGAUUGCGGGGGGCGGAUGAUGGCCUCCCGUGCGCCUCGUCGCGCGGUUGGCAUAAAUGCCAAGUCCUCGGCGACGCACGCCACGACAAUCGGUGGUUGCGAAACCUCGGUUGCCCGUCGUGUGCGGUCGUCGCGCAUCGAGGGCUCGAAAAAAUUGCCGGGCUCCGGCUCGGCUUUCAACGCGACCCCAGGUCAGGCGGGGUUACCCGCUGAAUUCAAGCAUAUCAAUAAGCGGAGGA
rnacentral:misc_RNA from 1 species